AGUAGAGACAGGGUUUCGCCAUAUUGACCAGGCUGGUCUUGACCUCAGGUGAUCCGCCUGCCUCUGCCUCCCAAACUGCUGGGAUUACAGGCCUGAGGCACUGCGCCUGGCCUGAAGAAUCUUUUCAAAUGCAACAGGGAGAGGUAAGGUUGUAUCAGAAUGUUUUCAACUAAAACUGCCACCUGGAGUGCCAAACUGCCACGGGGACCUAGACAGAUUCUGAUUGUGCCGCUGGAGCCCUGGAGUUACCAGCUGGAUUGCUGGUUAGACUCACUCUGUUAAUUUAUUUAAUCUUGGAUCAAGAUCCACAGCAUGGAAGAAGACUGAACCAUCACUUAGAGGAGAGCUGCUUACCCCUCACUGGGUUGUGGCAUGAACAAUAAAUACACUUUUAAGAUACUGAAAU